AUGCAGUCGAACGAUUCUUAAGAUGUUUACAUCUUAAAUGAUAGUGGCAAACGGGAGAGUAACACAUUGGUAACCUACCUCGAAGAUCGGCAUAACGGCCCGAAAGGGUCGCUAAUACCGGAUGUGGUCAUCAGACACAAGUCUGAUGAGUAAAGGCCAAAAUCCACUUCGAGAGGGGCCUAUGGCCUAUCAGCUUGUUGGUGAGGUAAAAGCUCACCAAGGCUACGACGGGUAUCGGGUGUGAGAGCAUGAACCGACUCACUGGGACUGAGACACUGCCCAGACACCUACGGGUGGCUGCAGUCAAGAAUCUUCCACAAUGGGGGAAACCCUGAUGGAGCGACGCCGCGUGCAGGAUGAAGGCCUUAGGGUCGUAAACUGCUUUUAUAUGGGACGAAGUUUCGGCUGACGGUACCAUAUGAAUAAGGGGUUGCUAACUCUGUGCCAGCAGCAGCGGUAACACAGAGACCUCAAGCGUUAUCCGGAUUUAUUGGGCGUAAAGCGUCCGCAGGUGGCUUAUUAAGUCUCAUGUCAAAUCUUCGGGCUUAACCCGAAGACUGCGUGGGAUACUGGUAAGCUAGAGGAUGGGAGAGGUAAGCGGAAUUGCCGGUGUAGUAGUAAAAUGCGUUAAUAUCGGCAAGAACACCAAAGGCGAAGGCAGCUUACUGGAACAUUCCUGACACUAAUGGACGAAAGCGUGGGGAGCGAAGCGGAUUAGAUACCCGCGUAGUCCACGCUGUAAACGAUGAGUGCUGGAUAUUGGGAGUAUCGAC
rnacentral:rRNA from 1 species